AAAAGAAUAAGAUCCAAGAAACAGAGAAACAUGACUUUUGCCUAAAAUAUCAUUAAUUCUUUGGGGAAGAAAAAUGACAAUCAAUUUGAUACCAUGCUGCUACACAUAUAAGUAAGGAAAAAUGUCACGAUUAUGAAACCAGGUUGCUUGGAACUUCAUUUGAAACUAAAAAUUUU
rnacentral:sRNA from 1 species